rnacentral:rRNA from 1 species
GACGAACGCUGGCGGCGUGCUUAACACAUGCAAGUCGAACGGAAAGGCCCUGCUUUUGUGGGGUGCUCGAGUGGCGAACGGGUGAGUAACACGUGAGUAACCUGCCCUUGACUUUGGGAUAACUUCAGGAAACUGGGGCUAAUACCGGAUAGGAGCUCCUGCUGCAGGGUGGGGGUUGGAAAGUUUCGGCGGUUGGGGAUGUACUCGCGGCUUAUCAGCUUGUUGGUGGGGUAGUGGCUUACCAAGGCUUUGACGGGUAGCCGGCCUGAGAGGGUGACCGGCCACAUUGGGACUGAGAUAAGGCACAGACUCCUAAGGGAGGCAGCAGUGGGGAAUAUUGCACAAUGGGCGGAAGCCUGAUGCAGCAACGCCGCGUGCGGGAUGACGGCCUUCGGGUUGUAAACCGCUUUCGCCUGUGACGAAGCGUGAGUGACGGUAAUGGGUAAAGAAGCACCGGCUAACUACGUG